rnacentral:rRNA from 1 species
UACGGAGGGUGCGAGCGUUAUCCGGAAUUACUGGGUUUAAAGGGUGCGUAGGCGGCUUUGUAAGUCAGGAGUGAAAGUUUGCGGCUCAACCGUAAAAUUGCUUCUGAUACUGCAUGGCUAGAAUUAGGAUGAGGUCAGCGGAAUGUGGCAUGUAGCGGUGAAAUGCAUAGAUAUGCCAUAGAACACCAAUUGCGAAGGCAGCUGGCUAGACCUGGAUUGACGCUGAGGCACGAAAGCGUGGGGAGCGAACAGGAUUAGAUACCCUGGUAGUCCACGCCCUAAACGAUGCUUACUCGACGUAUGGCACUAGUUGUUGUGCGUCCAAGGGAAACCGUUAAGUAAGCCACCUGGGGAGUACGACCGCAAGGUUG